GCCGGACCGGCGCGAUGGUGGCGCUUCUCAUUCCUACAGUUUUGCAGUCAGCUGAGAAGGUUGCGGGUUCGAAUCCCGCGUUCGGUU